UACGGGGGGGGUAAGCGUUGUUCGGAAUUACUGGGCGUAAAGGGCUCGUAGGCGGCCAACUAAGUCAGACGUGAAAUCCCUCAGCUUAACUGGGGAACUGCGUCUGAUACUGGAUGGCUUGGAUUCGGGAGAGGAAUGCGGAAUUCCAGGUGUAGCGGUGAAAUGCGUAGAUAUCAGGAGGAACACCAGUGGCGAAGGCGCCGCUCUGGGCCGAGACUGACGCUGAGGAGCGAAAGCGUGGGUAGCAAACAGG
rnacentral:rRNA from 1 species